AGUAAGUCAGAGGUGAAAGCCUGCAGCUCAACUGUAGAACUGCCUUUGAUACUGCUAGUCUUGAGUCAUUAUGAAGUGGUUAGAAUGUGUAGUGUAGCGGUGAAAUGCAUAGAUAUUACACAGAAUACCGAUUGCGAAGGCAGAUCACUAAUAAUGUACUGACACUGAUGGACGAAAGCGUGGGGAGCGAACAGGAUUAGAUACCCUGGUAG
rnacentral:rRNA from 1 species